rnacentral:rRNA from 1 species
CGCGAGCCCCAGGCCCGGGGCAUGCAGGUUUCGGGGGAGUCUAAAAAUAGAUGAGACCGGCGCACGGGUGCGUAACGCGUAUGCAAUCUACCUUUUACAGAGGGAUAGCCCAGAGAAAUUUGGAUUAAUACCUCAUAGUAUAACGACUCGGCAUCGAGAUGUUAUUAAAGUUCCAACGGUAAAAGAUGAGCAUGCGUCCCAUUAGCUAGUUGGUGUGGUAACGGCACACCAAGGCAACGAUGGGUAGGGGUCCUGAGAGGGAGAUCCCCCACACUGGUACUGAGACACGGACCAGACUCCUACGGGAGGCAGCAGUGAGGAAUAUCGGUCAAUGGGCGCAAGCCUGAACCAGCCAUGCCGCGUGCAGGAUGACGGUCCUAUGGAUUGUAAACUGCUUUUGUACAGGAAGAAACACUCCCUCGUGAGGGAGCUUGACGGUACUGUAAGAAUAAGGAUCGGCUAACUCCGUGCCAGCAGCCGCGGUAAUACGGAGGAUCCAAGCGUUAUCCGGAAUCAUUGGGUUUAAAGGGUCCGUAGGCGGGUUUAUAAGUCAGUGGUGAAAGCCCAUCGCUCAACGAUGGAACGGCCAUUGAUACUGUAGAUCUUGAAUUAUUAGGAAGUAACUAGAAUAUGUAGUGUAGCGGUGAAAUGCUUAGAGAUUACAUGGAAUACCAAUUGCGAAGGCAGGUUACUACUAAUGGAUUGACGCUGAUGGACGAAAGCGUGGGUAGCGAACAGGAUUAGAUACCCUGGUAGUCCACGCCGUAAACGAUGGAUACUAGCUGUUCGGAGCAAUCUGAGUGGCUAAGCGAAAGUGAUAAGUAUCCCACCUGGGGAGUACGUUC